UUGUGUCCACAAAUUAGACAAUAACACCGGGUAGUUGUCAAAUUAAACGAUCAACUCCUGCAGUUCCACUCCCCACUUGACCGGCGCGUGCUACAGAGAGUCGAUCGUCAUGUAAAGCACACAAAAUGGAAGAACCUGCAGCAUACAAGCCCAUUCCUGCAUCUCAUCAACCACGGUACACCUCUAGAUACCUGUGGAGCAAUCAUGGGAAAACCGUUAAAGUUAUACAGUCUCAUAAUUUGUGUAUGAUUCACAUAGUAAACACUAGCUUCACCAUUGUGGAAAUUGUACAAAAAACUCCAAAGUAGUGAUAUUGGGGAGAAAACAGUAACAGAAACAGAGAACACAAAUACUCCUUCUGUUCACAAAUGUAAGAUCUUUUAACCUUUUUCUGAAUCAGAUAUAUAUAGAUGCGUUUUAGUGUGUUUGUUCACUCAUUUCAAUCCGUAUGUGGUCGAUAUUGAAAUAUCCAAAACGUCUUGCAUUUGUGAACGGAGGGAGUAUGUAAUAUGCAGUGCGGACUUUCAGCUUCUAGAGUAAUAAAAACAGAGAAUGCAAAUAGGUAAUAUGCAAUGUAACUCUAGACACCUGGGCAGAUUUUUUAGAGGAAAAAGGCUCUCACCGAGGCUCCAUUUCCGCUGCUGAAAACAAAAUAGCCUCACAAGCACUACUCAUCGACAGGAAGACCUGAGAGCAGAUGUUCAGCCAUGAAGCAUACAAAAUGGAAGAACCUACAUACUACAGCAAAGAAUCCUAUUCCUGCAUCUCAGCAACCAGAAUACAAUUCUAGACACCUGUGGAGCGAUCAAUAUCAUUAGUAAAACCAAUUUGCCAUUUCAUUCAUGGAGAAGUGGUUAGAGUAAUACAACCCCAAAUUUUUCACAUGAUCCAAACAGCAGAGAGGGGAAGAAAACAUGAACAAAUAGAAGAGAAGGUAGCUGGGAGAAGGAGUGAUGAAGGGAAUGGAAAGCGGCUGAGGAAGGGAUGAGAGAGCAAGGCCUGGAGGAAAUAUCCAACAUGCCAAUAAAGCAGGAUGGGAGGCGGCCAGGUGGGCAACAGCUGAGCUAAGGGCCAUUGAGAGUAUCUUGAGUCCUCGCUUGGAAUUGGUACUUGAGAAAUUAUCGCAAAAAGGAUAUCAAUAUACUCCCUCCGUUCACAAAUAUAAGAUGUUUUAGAUAUUUCAAUAUGGACUACAUACAGACUGAAAUGAGUGAACAAACACACUAAAACGAGUCUAUAUACAUCCGAUUCACAAACAUCUUAUAUUUGUGACUGGAGGGAGUAUUUAUUUAAAACGAACAUUUCAGAUACCUCAACGCACGUACAGAAGACAAGCUUACCUGCUCAACCAAUACACCAUAAUAACAUACUGAACCAGACAAUCAUCUUAUGUGUUGUGCAAAAGUUCAGCUCCAUUGUGUCCACCACCAAUGCUUGUUU
rnacentral:lncRNA from 1 species